ensembl:snRNA U6 U6 spliceosomal RNA
GUGCUCGCUUCGGCGCACAUAUACUAAAAUUGGAGCGAUACAGUGAAGAUUAGUAUGGCCCCUGCACAAGGAUGACACGCAAUGUAAAAAAAAAAAAGGUUAGCUA